AUUCCAAGAGCAGCCAUCUUGCUUAACUGACAAACUAGAGAGAACUGCAAGGACUCAGUACAUCCCUGGCACAGUCCAUUCUCUCUCACAGCAUAUUGUAUGAGACUGUGUGAGUGCUGCUUCCACGCUACACUAAAAACCCAUGGUCCCUGCAUUAUUUGAGCAACUGACAAGCUUCUGAAGUUCAGGUUCGCGAACGCUGAGAGCAGCACCCAGUGGAUUUGUGGCAGGGAUGCACUCUAUCUGCGCAGAGGAAAACUCGUAGGACCUCCUAGGAUGCAUCUUGGCUCCAAGUUCGUGCAGUGUUAUUAGGAAAUUACAAGUCUAAGCAGCCGCAAAGAGACCGUUAAAUCACAUCACCUGCAGGCAUUUCUGCAUUAAAUGAUAUCAGAGUGGACACAGGAGAAAGAAAAGUCUAUUGUUGUGUCCACCAUAAAAAUAGACGUGUGGAUGAAAUGAUCUUGGAGCAGAAUCGACUAGAGAGGGUGAACUUGGGCAGAAGAAAUCAACUCGGACAAGCCAGAGUCCCUGACAAGGUCGUGAGGUCUCAAGCCAAUGGGAUGACAUAAAAAGGAUCACAUUAAGUGAAAUAUGACCAUAUACAGCAAAGAUGUCAUGGGGACAGCGUUUCACUAUGUUGUCCAGGCUUGUUUCAAACUCCUGGGCUCAAGCCAUCAGCCUGCCUCAACCUCCUAAAGUGCUGACAUUACAGGCAUGAGCCACUGUGCCCAGCCAGGAAAUGUUUCAAAUACUUGAGAUUUUUGAUGAACCAAGCUGGCUGGUGUCGCCUCAGUUUGUCUAAAUUACCAAGGACCGCUGGAAUUUCCCUGGGAAUAUGUUUCGGGAAAGGUCAGAAACUCUUCAGUCGUCUUCACGCUUCCACUCAGUAGCAACGUUUUUGCACACUCAUUGACUAUCAACUGGUUGUCUAUGACUCAAAUUACAUAAUGAAUCCAGCACAUAAAUUAUUUACUCAGAUUUAAUGCCAGCAACUGUUAUCUUUGUAUUUUUUUCCCCUCUGCCAGCUAAUCUGGCUCAUUUCAUUGGAAUUUUGGUCAUGCCCAUUCUCCUUCUGCACUAAAUUAACUCCAUAACGUAGUAUAAACAGAACAAGCUUGUGUGUGAUAUGCUUAACUGUUAAUUUACCUAAUUAAACUAAUUCAAUUAAAUCAUUUACAUCUUUUUGGUAACAUGCCAGUUGAUACCACAGCAGAAGUGGGAUGUUUCAGAAGAUGAUUGUUCAGCAAAUGAAUGGAAAAAAAAAUAAAAGGAAAACAAAAUG
ensembl:lncRNA LOHAN2 lncRNA oncogene in head and neck cancer 2